UUUAUUGGAGAGUUUGAUCCUGGCUCAGGAUGAACGCUGGCGGCGUGCCUAAUACAUGCAAGUCGAGCGAAUGGAUUAAGAGCUUGCUCUUAUGAAGUUAGCGGCGGACGGGUGAGUAACACGUGGGUAACCUGCCCAUAAGACUGGGAUAACUCCGGGAAACCGGGGCUAAUACCGGAUAACAUUUUGAACCGCAUGGUUCGAAAUUGAAAGGCGGCUUCGGCUGUCACUUAUGGAUGGACCCGCGUCGCAUUAGCUAGUUGGUGAGGUAACGGCUCACCAAGGCAACGAUGCGUAGCCGACCUGAGAGGGUGAUCGGCCACACUGGGACUGAGACACGGCCCAGACUCCUACGGGAGGCAGCAGUAGGGAAUCUUCCGCAAUGGACGAAAGUCUGACGGAGCAACGCCGCGUGAGUGAUGAAGGCUUUCGGGUCGUAAAACUCUGUUGUUAGGGAAGAACAAGUGCUAGUUGAAUAAGCUGGCACCUUGACGGUACCUAACCAGAAAGCCACGGCUAACUACGUGCCAGCAGCCGCGGUAAUACGUAGGUGGCAAGCGUUAUCC
rnacentral:rRNA from 1 species